AUACAGGGGGUGCAAGCGUUAAUCGGAAUUACUGGGCGUAAAGCGUACGUAGGCGGUUAGUUAAGUCAGAUGUGAAAGCCCUGGGCUCAACCUGGGAACUGCAUUUGAAACUGGCAAACUAGAAUAUGAGAGAGGGAAGUGGAAUUCCGGGUGUAGCGGUGAAAUGCGUAGAGAUCCGGAGGAACAUCAGUGGCGAAGGCGACUUCCUGGCUUAAUAUUGACGCUGAGGUACGAAAGCGUGGGUAGCAAACGGGAUUAGAUACCCCAGUAGUCC
rnacentral:rRNA from 1 species